ensembl:lncRNA
CUCAAACAUUAUGGUUAACAGGCAGAUUUUCCUGUUUGACUAAAGCUAGUCAAACAACGUAGAGCCACUUACUGCUACAUCAGCCACUUACUGGUUAAAUCAGCUUCACAGACAGUGUUACAUCUAUGGUUUUUGAGACCAUGGCUCAAUGGUGUAAAUUAGCCUCUAUAUGUUUAGUGGUUCAUGUCCUCUUUAAAUGUUUAAUAAAAAGUUUUUUUUAGCCCACACCGGUUGGAGCCAUCUUACUGAUGUAUUUGUGGAUGUUUGUUGUCUCAUCCUGGACUGUGGUGCUGACAAUCACCAGUCCCUGGCCUCCUUCCUUCCACUUUGUGUACAGCCUCAGGGUGCUGGACUUGGGGUGAAACCCUCAAUGCAUGGUCAGGAGCUUCCUUGUCUUGAUGUCAGUGGCUUCUAUCUCCUCCUUUGGCCCACUUAUUCCAGCAGGGUACCUGAUCAUGGGCAGGGCAUAGGUGUUGAUACCCCGGAUCUUGUUCUUACCGUUCAGCUGACUUCUCGGGACUUGCCUGACCCUCUGCAGGUACUUGGUGGUUGCAGCUUUUCUAGCGACCUCUUCAUGGUUCCUAUUUACCUGUGGUGCCCCCAGGUGUAGCUGUCCUCUAUGUCUGCAAUAUUGCCUUCUGGUAGUUCGAUCCCCUCAGUUAUGACUACCUUCCCUCUCUUUGUUACCAUCUGACUACACUUCUCCAGUCCAAAUGACAUGCCGAUAUCAUUGCUGCAUAUCAUGGUGGUGUGGGUCAGUGAAUCAAUGUCUCGUUCACUCUUGGCAUACAGCUUGGCUGGUUCUGUAAAGAAAAGUAGAGAUGGACCGAUCCGAUAUUACAUAUCGGUAUCGGUCCGAUACUGACUUACAUUACUGGAUCGGAUAUCGGAGAGAAAUAAAAAAUGUAAUCCGAUCCUUUAAAUAUCAAAAAAGCACCUCACAAAACUUGCGACACAGCGUAACUCAGCUCAUAACCGUAGCACGUGGGAGCAGUGUGCUCACGUGAUAGAGUGGCUGUGUGUAUUUGUAGCCUCACUACCAAACCAGCAUUUCAUCUGGAGGAAGUGAUCCCAGAGAGAAGUAGAGCAAGUGUAUAAGUUCAUCUCUGAAUGUUUGUAAAAGCAUUCCCGCGUUAAGCUUAACAACCGAUAUAUGGAGCGACUGCCUCUUCUCUCUCCCUCCCCUUCCUGCUGCUACCUCACUCAUGAAACUGAUCAAUGAUCAGCUGAUCGUCUGUGAAGGUUCUCAGUCAUCCCGGUCAUCAUAGUCAAAGGAGCUUGCAAAGAAAAGCGUCUGGACUUCUUUAAGUUGCUUGAAGACGUUUCACCUCUCAUCCGAGAGGUGGCUCUCAUACAGAAGAGCCACCUCCACAGGACAAGACUCAGCAGUCCAUCUGCAUCUUAAGGAUAAAGGACACUCUUUCGAGGAUGCCAAUGUUCACAUUUUGGACAGAGAGGACAGAUGGUUUGAAAGAGGAGUGAAAGAAGCCAUCUAUGUCCACUGUGAGCGGCCAUCUUUGAACAGAGGCGGGGGUUUACGACACCAACUCUCUGCCAUCUAUAAUCCAGUUUUGAGAUCCCUCCCCAGACGCCUUAACGCCCACUCACAUCCUGGGCCAUCUGACCUCAGGAAUUUGCAUGAUAAGGUGGGGCCAGGUUUCACAAUGAACAUACCUGAAACUCUGGCUGAUUGGGACCCACACCCAGUUUCACACCUUGGCUCAGGCGAUUAGAGGAUCAUCAGGGGGUCCUUUUGUCCCUCUGUGGGGGGUUACUCCCACUAGGUUUAUAUCUGGGACUCUCCACCAUUUGACCUUAGAACUGAAGAAGCUUCUCGGAUGAGAGGUGAAACGUCUUCAAGCAACUUAAAGAAGUCCAGACGCUUUUCUUUGCACGCUCCUUUGACGAUCAGCUGAUCGGCUUUUCUGUCGCGAGUUCAUCUCUCUUGCUUGUUUUUGACCCACUUCAUGCCAGAAAGAGGAAACCAGCGGCUGAACAACAGCAGCACGUUUUUACCUUGAUAAGCUGUUGUUAGAAUUUAUUUAAUAUUACUUUCUACACCAGGAUCAUUUUCUACGUAGCUGACGGCUGGUAACUGUGCAGGGGCGGAUCUAGCAAAGUUUAGCCAGGGGGGCCGAUAGGGCAUUAACAGGGAAAAAGGGGGCACAAAGACAUACUUUUCUUUCUUAUUCUCUGACCAAGUUAUUCUCUGAACUGCAACCAACUUCAAAAAAAGUGUGCCAGCUACUGAAAUUAGCUGUGGACUUGACUCCACAACAAAAAGAAGUGAAAAAUCAUCUCAAAAGAUUCAUCAGAGAGCUGGAUAACAUUAAACUUCAGAAAUGUAUGCGUUUCUGCACCGGAUCUGACCUUAUAGUAACAAACAGUAUUUAUGUAGAAUUUCAAGAUAUGACAGAGUUUACAAGAAGACUGCAAUUUUUAGUUAACGUAGGUUAAGGUAUCAAAGUUUGGCAUUUGUUAUUGAUUACAAAGGUUCCAUUUAAAGUUGGUGAAAAUAUUUUUUAAAAUUCCAGUAUUUUCUUAAUGUCAUAUUGUUUCUAAGCAUACCUGUUAUUCAUCCAUCAAAUUGAUUCAAGCUGCUUAAAUGAUUCAGUCUGUUUUGAAGACGGUUAUUGAUUACUGAGAUCAUAAAUAAACAGUCACGUAUACAGAGACACACAGUGCUUUAACUGUUACGACACACCCACACGCACACUCACUCACGUACGUACACACAUACACACAGGUACGCGCACACAGUCACUCACGUGCACUCACAUAGACACACGGGUACGCGCACACACAGGCACUCACGUGCUUGUGCAUACACACACAGACACACGGAGUUUGCAGCACACCAUGGGGGUUUUAUGAUGGGGUCACUUCUAUAAUGCUGGCUGUAACUAACAAAGACGUGGAAGAUCUGCAGAGGGACACCGGCCUGGCACAUCUCCCUUUCUAGAAGAUGCAUGCUUAAAUGAAGAUGAAUAAAGAUGAAUAAAGGUUUUGUGAAAUAACUACUGGGUUCCGGUGCCAUCUCUGGAUGCCCGGGGAAUAAAAGAACCAGGUUGCUGAAAUACUCCACAAGAGACCCGAGUCAUGACAGCAAAUUGUCAGGGGUUGCUGAGUGGAUGUGGAGAAAAGGACUCAAACGCAGGACUCACGGUGAAGAUGCAGGAUGUUUAUUGUGAGGGACGAAUGACGAAAACAGGAGAUGGCUGACUGACUGACUGACUGACUGAAUAACUGAAUGAACGGCUGACUGAUCUGAACUUGGGAGGCAAACAUGGGGCAUAGACAGCAGUGACAACAUUAAUGACGCGACGCCGACCAAGAGAGAACUGAGGACUUAAAUACACUGGCUGAACAAUGACUGAUAGGUGACAGAUCUAGAAAAAGAGAGACAGGGACAUGAGCUCUGAACUGUAAGCAUGGUCUGCUUCUUUUGUGUCCGGUGAAGGAGCAAACAAUGGAGAGGGCGGUGAUGUUCCAUCUAUACACAACAUGAAUGUUGUGUAUAGACACAACCUGUGACGCCUCGCUGCUGUGUUGCCUUACUGCUGUGCUGCCUUACUGCCUUACUACCGUGGUGUCUCGCUGGUGCCAUUAAAGGACCGGCAGCUGCCAUCCAUUCAUCCAUCCGGACCUCGAUUAUUUGGACCGAAGUACUCACACACACACCCGCACUCAGUGCCAUACACUCUCUUUAUUUUGCUGGCCAGCUAACACCAUUGUUUUUUGUUUUUUUUGUUUUGUUUUUGCAUUCACAAAGACUAUCCAAAGACAUUUUGGUUAUUGUCAAAUAGACACUCUCUGAUUACGGACUGAGGAGGUUGUGGUGUUACAACCCCAGGACUGAGAAAAAAAAGACUCUUUACACCAAUAUAUUCACUUGUCUCCUGGUUAGGAGAAGUGGCUAUUGAUGGAAAUAUUUUUUUUCUUUUUUCUUCUUCUUGUCUUUGUUUACAUUGUAUCCCAGAGAAGUUUUAAGUUGUUCAGGUUGAAACAUUUGCCCUUAGAGUUGGUUAAGUUUCCUUUGAUGUAUCAGUGUCAAGCUGAUGUUUAAGAGGGUAUGUUAAGGACAGAUGUGCUCCAGUCCAUCAAUCCUUUAAAGUGCUGGACACCGAUGGUAAAUUGCCAUCAGACCCUAAAUAAAUUGUCCUCUGCUGUCAUC